rnacentral:sRNA from 2 species
CCAGCGGUACUGAAGCCCAUACUGUAUCCAGAAUGCGGUUUCAAGCACAUCCCUCACGUUUCGCUCGGAGCCAUCUCCGGCGAGCUCAUCGAAGAAACUCCACUUUUGAUCCUUCAUAACAUCACAGAAGCUCUCGUACACUCCAAAGAUACACAUACCAAAGGCCUCUGUUUGAGUGGCAUCAAAAUCGACCACCCCUGUUACGUAAACUUGUGAGUCAACCAUGAUGUUGACCUCUGCAAAGUCGUGAUAUGUCAAGACAGGCGGAAACUUAUUGAGAAGGGAAACUCUCUCUAACAGAGAAGAUGCUUUGUUUAUGAAAUGAGACGCAGAUCGAUCUUCCUCAGGGCGUCACUCUGCACCAACUUGUCCAGAGUACUUCUGGCAGUUUUUGUCCAGGAUGCUGGGAAGUAUGUUGAUGCCAGCUGAGGCCGAAAAGUGGAUUUUGCCACAAAUUGCAUGUGUUCGGUAACAGUCGUGAGCUGCCUCUGUAAAGGGGAUGCACCCUUACCUUAGGGGAUUUUUGGAAAAUAUGCACUCGCGCCGGAAUCACCGGGC